rnacentral:rRNA from 1 species
GAUGAACGCUGGCGGCGUGCCUAAUACAUGCAAGUCGAGCGAACGGACGAGAAGCUUGCUUCUCUGAUGUUAGCGGCGGACGGGUGAGUAACACGUGGAUAACCUACCUAUAAGACUGGGAUAACUUCGGGAAACCGUAGCUAAUACCGGAUAAUAUUUUGAACCGCAUGGUUCAAAAGUGAAAGACGGUCUUGCUGUCACUUAUAGAUGGAUCCGCGCUGCAUUAGCUAGUUGGUAAGGUAACGGCUUACCAAGGCAACGAUGCAUAGCCGACCUGAGAGGGUGAUCGGCCACACUGGAACUGAGACACGGUCCAGACUCCUACGGGAGGCAGCAGUAGGGAAUCUUCCGCAAAGGGCGAAAACCUGACGGAGCAACGCCGCGUGAGUGAUGAAGGUCUUCGGAUCGUAAAACUCUGUUAUUAGGGAAGAACAGAUGUGGAAGUAACUGUGCACAGCUUGACGGUACCUAAUCAGAAAGCCACGGCUAACUACGUG